GUUUUAGAUGUCCAACAAUUUGCCUUGCGGUUUUAUAUGUUGGGAUGAGACAAGGCUAGUAGGUCACUGUGUGCAUCGAAUGCAUAUAUAUAUUCAUAUUUAAGGUACUGGUAGUGAUAUUGUAUACAAUUAAAGGGACCUGUGGUGUUGAUCAAAAUGAUAAUGUCCACCCUCAUCAAUAUAUUAAUCUAUCUGAUUCGACUAGUUUUGUCUACUUCUGAUGAAGUCAUGUUCCUGUAACAUUUGCUGCAUGCUGAGAAACCAAAUGACUGAACCACAGAGUUUUGAAACCAUCUUUGACUGAACUGUGUUCUUGCUCUACAUAGACAUCUGAUUAUCGUACAAAUACUGUAAUUCAUUUGCCAUUCAAGCUGUAUUAUGUUGCCCCUGAAGGAGAAAUAUAGACCAAUAGUGAAGAAGCUGCUGGAAGCUGGAUGCUGUGCCCGCUGUGUCCUGAGGUUCUGCUGCUUGGGGGUGCAGUCAGCCUACCGCCAGUCUUAUGAGAUACAGCAAAGGAGCUUUGUGCUUUCAUCAGUGAUUCAGAGAAUAACGAAUCCCAAGAUGCAGCCGUGCUGGAGCAGCACACAGAAGACCCCCCUCGUAAAAAAAUUAAGAUGGAUGCGGCGGAGACGGACGUCCAAUCAGAAGGCGACUCUGCCGUGGUUCCCGCGGUGAUGGAGGAAGGCGACUCCGAGCCAGCGGACUCGGACGUGUGUGCGGUGUGCCUGGGAGUUCUACAGGAGUUCUGUGAUGAAGCCUAUGCCAUAAAGAUAUCGGAUGUGGUGAAGGCCAAAAACUACCAGUUUGACACGAUGGUACUGUCCGUCUCCCUGCCGGCCCAGCUGUCUGUCAGAGAGCACUCUUGUUGGCUGCAUGUAAAGAAGGAAGUGAGAUAGGAUGAUGUCAUCCAGGUGAAGGAGGCCUUCAAGUGGACCAUACAGGGUCUGAUGUCCAAAGAGCUUGGUGGCGUACCUGUGGUGACCAAGAUCAGUCGACAAACUGAACAGUUUGAGGUGGGCGUGGGGUUCACACAUCCAGAGACGGACUCAGACUGCCACUUCCUGGCUGGCAUCUGUUCAGACUGCUUCAGACCAACUAAGAACAAACAGAAAGUUCCCCUGUCCCCCUACACGGCCAGCGAGGAAAUGCAUCGCUCAAGAGGUCCAGUGUCUUCACGUUUCUGUAUUUGGGUAAGGUUGUUUAUGACAUCCCUUUUGGAUGAUUUGAACCAACGGAGGGCUUUGAGAUGAUCAAGAGUGGGGUCAUUUCACUUCGGGAAUGUAUUCAGUUGGGGGCGAAUACUAACGUCCUCUUAGGUAAGUCAAAUGUUCACUUAUUUCUCCGUUGACGUCAAUGCGAUGUAAAAGUUGGACUUAGGGAAAAGUUAGGAUUCACCCUUCAUGGUUAGGGGCUCGUAAGUAAGCAUUUCACUGUAAGGUAAGGUAAGAAGCAAAACAGUGAGAUACACAAAUAGUCAUACACAAACCCAAACACAAAGGGAGGUAUUAAGGUUGAGAGACAUUCACAGUGAUAUACUUACACACACACGAUAACAAAUUAAUAAAUGUUAUUUUUUUAUCAUCAACGAGUCACCCAAUGUCAGUACCUUAACUGUUCCCAGUUACAUCAAGGAGUUUGUCCACGGAGACUUUGGUCGCACCAAGCCCAAUCUGUGUGAUAUGCUGAAGACUGAGACUGAUAUCCUAGAGCUGGACGUUGAUUCUGUAGAUGUGGACUGGCCACCCUCCAUCCCGGAGUGAGCCUCGUCUCACUGAUGCUGUUGAGGAUGCCAAAAGGAGCCCUAGUUCUUUCUGAUGGGCCAUACCGUCACCUAUUAGGCUCCGUUCCACUGAUCUCUAGAUGAUAUGGAUAGUGUCAAUAUAUUUGUUUUUCUUUCAAUAGAUUAUGUUGAAAUGACUGAAUCUGUACAGCACGUGCGCUGAGCUGAGGCCUUGAACUGAUCUUAGAUAUACAUGUCUUUGAGAGCCGUAGCAGGGACUGGGUGUGAAUGGCACCGCUGACGGAAAGAACUACAAUCCAAGUUAAUUGCACUCACCUGGUGUCCCAAGUCUGAAUUAGUCUCUUAUUAGGAGAGGAUGAAAACCAGAAGUGUUUCGGCCCUCCAGGUCAGACAUUGAACAGCCCUUCUAUAUAGCUUAGGGGUAGUCUAUGGUCAGUAUUUUGUGUGUUUUUCCCUCAAUUGAUUUACAGAGGUUUUUGUUCAGCCUUAAAAUAAAUGGUUUACCUGUGGAUUGUCCCGUAGGCAAAAUGAGAGCAAUGCUAUACUUUUUUUUUUGUAUGAAUGAACAUAUUUGAAUGUGAUGUCUCCCAUCAGUAUCAUGUUCCCCCAUUGUAAAUCCCAUCCACAUAAAGGCCUGGGACAUGUUCAGUUGUGCACACAAUGGAAAAAAAAUUGGAACAGAAAACCAAAACAUUUUAUUUCAUAAGUCCAGGUAUGGUGCUUUUCCAUUUUGACUUACCCCCACACCAAUGUUUUAUGUUAAAGGGAAACGUGAGGAUUUUGGCAAUCUACUUCCCCGGGGUCACAGGAACUCGUGCCUACCAUUUUUGUCUCUGCGUGUAGUUUGAAGGGACUUGCUAACCAUUGAUACCGCAUUUACUAACUAGCGUUAGCGCAAUGACUGGAGGUCUAUGGGUAGCAGAUACCCACAGACCUUGUCAUUGCACUAACGCUAGUUAGCAUUUUCUCAUGAAACUACCUCUAGCUUCCUUCAUAUUGGACAUAGAGAAAAUUGUAUCCACAAGUUUGUGACUCUGGGAAAGUAGAUAAAGGGCCUCAUUGCCAAAAUCCUGAUGUGUCCCUUUAAUGUAAGCUCUAGUGUUUUGUCCAUCAGGUGUGUGACACUAAAGACUUGUGGCAAGCAGAAUAACAAACCUCUGCAUCAUUCAAGACUGUUGCUUUUUGAGGUGUAAAAGUUCAGUUAACCAUCUUUGUAAAUUCAAGCUAAAAAAGUACCCAGUGCCUUGGCUCCAAGUCAGAGCAUGUCCGUCGGAGCAAUGGUCCAGUGAGACACGGGUGCCGGCCCACGUAGAUGGAAAAAUAGAUUUACCCCAGUGUUUUACCCAAAAACAUACCAGUGGGAAUGCGCCAGUAGUUUCUUCCUCCCGGUUUUAUUUGAUUUGGUUCCUAAUGAACAUGACCCUGGAUGAGACCCUUGCUGAAUAUUGUGUAGGGUAUUGCUUUCCAAAGGGUACACACUCAUUGAAAUAUCAGACGGGGGGGAUUAAAAUAAAACACUGAUUUACGCCAUGAAAAACCCUGAAAUGUAUUCUUUAAUUUAAUUCAAAAUAAAUACUACCACGGCAUUGCAAGUUCACUAUUGGUUUCUUGCCCUAAUGUUUUGGUAAGAAAACAAACAAGCAAACAAUCCAAAAAACAAUUGGAUAAAAAACAGACUUUAGUAAUGCAUCCAACAAUAUCAUCCUUCAGCGGCUUAAAGAGAGGUGCCUUUUUGACUCUGAACAAGACUGGGUAACACUGCCUAGAAUGACACAAACAUAAAUAAAUCUAGUACUAUGGUACAAAAAAGGAAGGGAAUGAUAACGACCUGAUGUAACCACAUAUCACUGCAGAAUUGACCAUGGUCCCACUUGAACGGGUAAAAGAAAACAUUACAGUGGGUGUCAAUUUAUUUGACCAACAGCGAAAAAGGG